rnacentral:tRNA from 1 species
GGGGACUUAGGUUAAUAAACCAGACCCUGGGCCUUCAAAGCCCACAGUGAAGUGAAAGUCUUUCAGUUCCCG